UACGUAGGAGACGAGCGUUGUCCGGAAUUACUGGGCGUAAAGCGCGUGUAGGCGGAUGGGCAAGUCUGCUGUGAAAGCUCCUGGCUUAACCGGGAGUGGUCGGUGGAAACUGCCAAUCUGGAGGACGGUAGAGGUAGGUAGAAUUCCCGGUGUAGUGGUGAAAUGCGUAGAUAUUGGGAGGAACACCAGUGGCGAAGGCGGCUCACUGGACCGGUACUGACGCUGAUGCGCGAAAGCGUGGGGAGCAAACGGG
rnacentral:rRNA from 1 species